rnacentral:rRNA from 1 species
UACAGAGGUCUCAAGCGUUGUUCGGAUUCAUUGGGCGUAAAGGGUGCGUAGGUGGCGAGGUAAGUCGGAUGUGAAAUCUCAGGGCUCAACCCUGAAACUGCAUUCGAUACUGCCUUGCUCGAGGACUGGAGAGGAGAUUGGAAUUCACGGUGUAGCAGUGAAAUGCGUAGAUAUCGUAAGGAAGACCAGUGGCGAAGGCGGGUCUCUGGACAGUUCCUGACACUGAGACACGAAGGCCAGGGGAGCAAACGGG